UGAAUAAGAUUUUGUCUGAUGAGUCUUUUGUACCUGAAGGAGACGAAAAACGUAUGGGAAGGCAGCAACAAUGAACAGAAAAGAAUUGUAUGCAUCUGAUUCUGUGCAAGUGUUUGUUCUAUGUCUGAAAUCUCCCCAACCGUAGUGACAUAUGUAAAACUGGACGCUUCUAAGAGCUUGCACCUGGCUUGUUAACUGAUCUCCCAGCAAGAAAUCAGGUAAAGUUACCUUGUAAAGAGGAGCAGCAAGGCAGUGGAAGAGGCAUGUGAGGAAGAACAAGCGACUCGAGCGGUAGAAGAAGUUGAAUGGUAAGACUAGAACUAUAAACAUAACCUAGAGAUCACAAACAUUAACCUGUUAGUAUCUUCAUGCAGCUGAGUUUAUUGCAUUUUAGGGACUUACAAUGAGGAGGAGAAGAGGAAGAAGUUCGGUGAAUAGUUUGUAUUCUUGAGUUUCAGGGUCCACCUCCAUGUCAAGAUUAGCAAUAACACAAAGAAGUGCCAAAACUCCAAUGCUGAAGCCCACAAGUAGAACUUGUCUGUAUCCAAGCUCAGAUCCUUGCUUGAACCCAAAUAUGAAGGAAUAGUUCACUCGAUACCGCCUCCAAUAGUAAAUGUUUCCAGCAUACAUAAGUAUGUGCAGCACAAUGAACCCAAACAAGCUGCAAGAACAAGAAGAAAGAAAGUGUAAGAGAGAAGCAAAUCGUUAGUAUAAACAUAGUAAGCAAAUUAAAUUAGGUUUUACCUGUAAAGAGGGAACAUAAUGUCCAUGUACUGUUUUUGGCCUUGUUCUUGCAGAAUGUUCCGGGUGCGUAUGAUGGCGAAUAGAGCCACUACUAGUGAGAACACACAUCCACCCAAGAAGCCUGAAAAAGUACUUUCUAAAAUUAGAAACUUCUUCCACAAACAAAGAAACCUGAAAGAUUGAAAGAGGAAAGUAUAAUGAAUAUACUGUACCUGUGGAGAAUGUAAUACGAUGUCUCUCUCUUUUAGGUUUGGGUCUCAAGAUGUUCAUUCCUUUUGUUCUGUUAGCAUUGGUGAAAUGCUUUAUGAAGGUAGCUUCAACACGCUCUAUGAGUUUAUUUACCUGUGACAAUGGUGAAGCAAGAGAAUAUCAGUCUUAAGAAGUAUCAGUCAACUUCAUCAAAUAAAAGAGCUUACGUCAUCAGAGCUUCCAAAGCAGGAGUUAUCAACCAUCUUCAUGUAAGACUUUGUAGCAUGCCUCGAAGUUAUCUGUUUAAAGAGUAGCUUGGUGAACACGUUUUCAGUAAGCCCUAAACUAAAAAACUCUCAAUCUCUUACCUUAUCAUACUUCUUCAGUAUCUUUGAAAACGCCAACACAUUCAAGAAGCUAUAGCUCUUUAGCAGCCUAAGCUUCUGGUAGAACUCAACAAAGGCGCGUCUGAGCUUCUCUUCGACUCUCCUCAGGUUAUCUCUGCUGAACUUAAGCUCUGUAUUCGAUACCUGUAGAACGCUUUUGAUGGUGGAGCGUGGCGUUUCCUUCGUAUGGUUCAUCUUGACACGAUCAAGAACCUCUAUAGGAGAUGGCCUCGCAGCUUUUAAUCUACUUAUGUCACUGGUCACUACGUCGGACACAUCUUUAUCUUCUUCUUUGUCCGCAUCAUCGUCAUCUUCAUCUUCGUCGGACUUACCAGCUUUGCUAGAUCCUCCUUCUUGUAUUGCCUCCAUGUGAGCUUGACCUCCAGGUUUCACUGCAACCAAACCGGAGUUUUAAAUCAUCAAAUUUCAUUAAUGGUUCGGUAAAACCGGAAUUAAUCAUUAAAUAUAACCAACCAGAUUAAAUUUCAAUCUGGCUAAAACCGGAAUCAAUUAUUAGUCAACCCAUACUUUGGAUAAACCGGAAAUUAAACCGGUGAGAAUGCACAUAGUCAUCACUCACUCAGUUAGACUCCUUCCCGUCCGCAAAAAUUGAAAUUUUGAGAUGUUUUUCGUUUCACAAAUAUAAAGUUCUAUAUAUUUUUUUUUGUAAAAAUAGUUCUAUAUAUUCAAUAUAAUUUUUAGAAUGUUUAUGAUUUUUCUCAGAUUAAUUAAGAUAACUACUAGUUAAAUAAACUGAACUUUAAAAUUAUGAUAAUAGAAAGUAGUAUUACUUUUGAGAUUGUAUAUUUAUUUUAAAUUGUAUAAAAAUAAAAAUAAAAUUAUUCUUUUUUUUUGUUGUAACUAUAUAAAAUUAUUCUUGAAACAGAGAGAAUAUUACAUACUGGAUCUAGCACCGGCGGGAGUAGAAGCUGCGACGGCCGCC
rnacentral:lncRNA from 1 species